rnacentral:rRNA from 1 species
CCUACGUGAGGCAGCAGUGAGGAAUAUUGGUCAAUGGGCGCGAGCCUGAACCAGCCAAGUCGCGUGAGGGAGGACGGCCCUACGGGUUGUAAACCUCUUUUGCCUGGGAGCAACGGGCGUCACGUGUGGCGCCACUGAGAGUACCCGGAGAAAACGCAUCGGCUAACUCCGUGCCAGCAGCCGCGGUAAUACGGAGGAGGCGAGCGUUAUCCGGAUUUAUUGGGUUUAAGGAGUGCGUAGGCGGAUCGUUAAGUCAGUGGUGAAAUUGAGGGGCUCAACCCCUUCCCGCCAUUGAAACUGGCGCUCUUGAGUGGAAGAGAAGUAUGCGGAAUGCGUGGUGUAGCGGUGAAAUGCAUAGAUAUCACGCAGAACCCCGAUUGCGAAGGCAGCAUGCCGGCUUCCGACUGACGCUGAAGCACGAAAGCGUGGGGAUCGAACAGGAUUAGAUACCCUUGUAGUC